AUACUAUGAUGGUUGCAUAGUUCAGCAGAUUGAAUAAUGAAGAAAUGUACUGUGUGUCUGAUGUGUCU
rnacentral:snoRNA from 1 species